GACACGGAAAGAUCAAGCUGAAGUGUUUUCUGGUGCAGCAAAGUGGUGUGCGAAAUGCAGAAAUUCUGGUGCAUCAGUAGCAGAUUUAUUCUGCAUCUUUUGUAGCUGUUUCUGUAAUAUAUGGUAGAGCAACUUUACCACACCUCCACCCAGCAGCUCUGUUAAACAUCAGGAAUCACAGCAGACGUGCUUAUUCCAGAUCACGUGACAACCCUUCCAAACAAGUCAUUCUACAGCAUUUGCAUUUGACAGCAAAGUCAAUGCAACCGUAACAGCAGCAUAGUCCACUUUGCAGCUGAGAGAUUUGUGUGUGAACCCAGUAGAUUCAAUCUUCUUUGAGAGCAAUCUGGAGCUGCCACAUUCAAUUCUUUUUUUUGCUUCACCAAUUGUAUUUGUUCCAUCAUUUCAAUUUCUUGUAAUUGGCCAUUAAAACAAGUGAUUGGAAAGAACUCACAAGUGUUUUUCCAUCAUUUGUAAACUUUUGCUCUUAAUUUCUCACUAAAAUUGGUAGACGGUGAGUGUGUCUUGGAUCCAAAGUCCAAGCCUCACCUAAGAGACCUCACUUCUUUCAA